UACGUAGGGACCAAGCGUUGUUCGGAUUUACUGGGCGUAAAGGGCUCGUAGGCGGCCAACUAAGUCGGAUGUGAAAUCCCCAGGCUCAACUUGGGAACUGCAUCCGAUACUGGAUGGCUUGAAUCCGGGAGAGGGAUGCAGAAUUCCAGGUGUAGCGGUGAAAUGCGUAGAUAUCUGGAGGAAUACCGGUGGCGAAGGCGGCAUCCUGGACCGGCAUUGACGCUGAUGAGCGAAAGCUAGGGGAGCAAACGGG
rnacentral:rRNA from 1 species